GACUCCAAGGGGGCCUUGAAUGAGCCGAAUGGGGU
rnacentral:tRNA from 1 species